GAUGGGUGUGAAGUUAGAUUUGUUGGUGGAGAAUAGGAAGUUGACAGCUUCAAGACUUAAAAUUAGAAGUAAGUUGGGCUAUUAUAAGGACUCUUCCUGGGCAAUUGAGAACAUGGAGUAACUCAAACUAGACUAGAAGAAGAUGGGUGCAGAUGCAGGAAGUUUUAUUGAUUUUGAAAUGGAAAGAAGAGGGAGUUGUAGUCUGAUGGUUUAAUGAGGCAAGCUUACUAGCUGGUCUUGCAGAGAAUGGAUGGAAGGAAGAUUAGGAAGUUUCAGGGCAGAGAAGUAGACAUCUCUGGAGUGGAGGGUGCAAGCUUAGUAGAGGAAAACAGGUGUGCUGAGCAAUGUUGAAUGCCUGUUUGAAGUUGGCGAUCUUGAAUUUAAAUUGAAAACAGCAUGUCUAAUUGUAUCAUUUUUCUCCACCAAUUUCAGCUGCUUGGGUAUAAGCGCUGAGAAGGCUGAUGAAAUAAGUUCUUAGGUUUAUGCAGGUUUGAGGUUUUAACAGAAAUGGCCAAAGAGGAAGGGACAGGGGGGUUACAACCCUGUGACACAAUAAUUAUUAUAAAGAGCUCUGAAAUAUGGACUGGACAUGAAUGGAUGUGAGGAGAAGUAGAGGUGCUGAUGAAAAAAAGAGAGCAUGAUGGGGUCAACAGAAUGGAGGUCUAAAUGAGUUUGGAAAACUGUUGAAAUGGUGUACUAGAUAUAAGAAAAGCUCAAAGAAUAAGAAGUUGUUUGAAGAAUGGGAUAUUUGAUCAAUGGUAGUUCUGUUUCUGAUGUUGACAAGAUGUAGGUUAUAAUGUGAAUAAUGGAUUAGAUGGAGUAAAAGAUCAUUGUUGAGGAGAUCAACCUGAGAGUUGAGGUUUUGAUUUGGUCAUCUAUGUGGAUGUCAAAGACUUGGAGAAUGGUAAAGAGGAGUCAUUGUGGAUCAGUGACCAGGUGAUCAAUACCUAACAAUAAGAGGAAAGGGAGGGUGGUAUUGCUAGAUGGUACAAGCCUCACAAAAAUAUAGUUUGUAAGAGUGAGGAGAAAUAAUAUUCUGUAAGUGACAACAAAGAGCAAGGAAAAAUACUAAAGUCACCACUUGGCCCUAAUUUUAUGGACUACGUGAUAAUCAACUGAGAAAGAACUAGAAGAAAGGCAUUAUCCUAAGGGAUCAGCCAGAAAGGCAAGGAGGUAAGGGACUUUCCAUUCAGAGAAGAUAUGUGGCUUGUGGGAGUGUCCUGACCACUAAGAGGAAGUUCUAGGGCAUUGAAGGGGUCUGAGGAGAGGAAGGUUGGGGGAUUGGGUCAGAUCAAGGGGAAAGCAGCAUUAAAAGCAGAGAAUUCAGGUAGUAAAGAAUGACAAGGUUAGUUGGCAGGUGAGAUGGAAUUGGUCGCAAUGGUCUUGAAAGAAGACAGACACUUAGUUCUAGCUCUAUGACCCUUUGGGAUAGUAGAGCAUCUGGUCACUCCUUUAAGCUACUUAUGGCGAAAUAUGAGUAACAUUAAAAGUAUCUUUAAAGCCCUAGCCAGUUUUGCGCAGUGGAUAGAGCAAUGGCCUGCAAACUGAAGGGUCCCGGGUUCAAUUCCAGUUAAGGGCACGUACCUCAGUUGCAGGCUCCCGGGCAUGUGAGAGUCAACCAAUCGAUAUGUUCCUCUCAUGUCUGUGUUUCUCUCUGUCUCUCCCUCUCCCUUCAACUCUCUCUAAAAAUCAAUGGGAAAAAAAUAUCCUUUGGUGAGGAAAAUAAAUCUAUAUAUAUAGAAGCCUAAGUGACUGAUCAACCAGUUGCUAUGACACACAAUGACCACCAGGGGGAAGACGGUCAAUGCAAGAGCUGCCCCCUGGUGGUCAGUGUGCUCCCACAGUGGGAGUGCCACUCAGCUGACCAAUGGGUGUUAGACGCAGGGCUCACAUCUGGCCACUGCAGCCCAAGACCGCAGUGGAGCAGCAGUGAGCCCGUCAAGCAGUGGUGGUGGCAGGUGCUGCGGGGCCUGGAUGAACAGGAGCAGCAGGCAGGAGUGGCAGGUGGUGUUGGACUGCCAGUUUCCGGCCUGAUCCCCGCAGGCUAUGCUAAGGGCCCACCCCACCAGUGCACGAAUCUGUGCACCAGGCCUCUAGUAAAUAAAUAAAUAAAUAAAUAAAUAAAUAAAUAAAUAAAUAAAUAAAUAAAUAAAUAAAGUAUCUUAAGAAAUUGUUUUAUUGGAUUCUGUAAUAGACAUAUAGAAGAUCAGUGAUAAUUUUUACUCCUUUGCUCAAAUCACACUAAGACAUAUAGCAAAGCCAAAAGAUGAGACAUUUGAUAGGCCAUUAUUCCAUUAAGGAAAUUCACACAAUAUUGUAUCUUUAGCAGUGAGGAACAAUGAGAAAAGUACUGGCCUAGGAAUCUAAAGAAAUUAGUUCUGGUCUCAUCCAUGUCAUUUGCUAGUUGUGUAACUAUUUGUCAUUUAAUCUUCAAACUUUGCUUUCUUUUUCUAUAAAAGUAAGCUGACAAUAUCGGCUCUUCCUUCUUUGCAGAGUCUUAUGAGGAUUCAGUGAGAGCAUAUAUAUGUGCUGUCCACAUAUUUUGUUGUUCUUAUUAAGAAAGGGACUAUCAUGAAUCUUCAAAAUAUCUUUAGUGUGUUGGAAAGUCACCACUGUUGACUUUGGAUAAUGAUUGGGGGGUACUUUUCCUUAGAGGGAAAGACCUGUCAGUAGAAUCUUUAGUGGGUUAGGUUCUUCUUAACCUGUGCUCCCAAAGUUCUGGAGUAAAAGCAAGGUGAGAUUUUAAUUUAUACAGGUGACAGUAGGAUAACUAAUUUGGAGAUCAGGAACAGUAGUCCUUUGGAUUUUGAGUAAAAUCUUAAAUAAGCUAUGUACUAGAUAUACUCGAUUAGACUACUAUGUAAAAAAUUGACUGAAUGAAAUUCCUCUUAAGAUGUUAUAACAAGUACAUUGUUUUAAGAAGUUUUAAUGCAUUGCUUUUAUAUUAAAAAUGAAUUAUCAAAUCAAAGAAUUGGUUUGUAAAGAUUCUGUGUUCCUUAGAAAUGAAUUAAUACACAAGUAGAUGAUUUUUAACAGGUAUUUGUCCUCAGUGGCUACAUGGCUUAAAUAUAUAUUGUAUUCAGUUAUGUUUUUAAUCAUUUAGAUGUUUUUAAACUGUUAAUAUUUUUACUUUAGUUUAUCUUGCUUUAAGAUUUUUGUCUUUUAAUGAAAAUGACUCACUAUAUAAAAAAAUAUUUAAAUCAGUGGCCUAAUUGACUUAU